rnacentral:rRNA from 1 species
UACAGAGGUCUCAAGCGUUGUUCGGAUUCAUUGGGCGUAAAGGGUGCGUAGGUGGCGGGGUAAGUCAGGUGUGAAAUCUCGGGGCUCAACCCCGAAACUGCACUUGAUACUGCCUUGCUCGAGUACGGGAGAGGAGAUUGGAAUUUACGGUGUAGCAGUGAAAUGCGUAGAUAUCAAGUGGAACACCAGUGGCGAAGGCGAAUCCCUGGAAAAUACCUGACACUGAGGCACGAAAGCUAGGGGAGCAAACAGG